GUCAGGGGUUCUAAAACUGAAUGAAUUAAUUCUAGUGUAUCUAGUCUUUUAUUUAUUUCAUAUAAAAGGUUUUUCUCUUAUAGUUGGCUAUUUUGGGUUUUAGAGAUUUCGAAUGGUUUAAACAUAGGGACUAACUUCCAAUUAGGUUUUGACUAUAUUUUAUCUUCUUUUACUGAUUUCUGUAUUCUUAUAAGUUGGUCACCCAUAGUUUUUGAAUUUUGAUUUAUAAAAUUAUUUUGUUCUAAAAUAUUCUUAA
rnacentral:lncRNA from 1 species